UUUUUAACCGCAUUUACUAAGGUACUCACCAGAAUUCUCAAAAUGGUAUCCAGCGUCAUCGCCUUUCUCGCCCUUGUUUCCGUAGCUGCUGCCGUUCCUUACGGUGGUAUGAUGGGAUACGGUAUGGGCGGCAUGGGAUAUGGUAUGGGCGGCAUGGGAUAUGGUAUGGGCGGCAUGGGAUAUGGCAUGGGCGGCAUGGGAUAUGGUCUCGGCGGAAUGGGAUAUGGUAUGGGCGGCAUGGGAUAUGGUCUCGGCGGAAUGGGAUAUGGUAUGGGCGGCAUGGGAUAUGGCAUGGGAUUAGGCGGCAUGGGAUAUGGAGGAAUGGGUAUGAUGAAAGGAUAUGGUAUGGGCGGCAUGGGAAUGGGUUUAGGUAAAAUGUAUGGUAAAUAAGAAGUUACAGCCACCACUCUAAGGACUGGAUUUGAUGACGGACCGGCAACGUUUCAAGACAUGAGCUAUACACGUGUAUUUUGUUCAACAUACU